CCUACGGGAGGCUGCAGUGAGGAAUAUUGGUCAAUGGUCGGGAGACUGAACCAGCCAAGCCGCGUGAGGGAGGAAGGUACAGAGUAUCGUAAACCUCUUUUGUCAGGGAACAAAGGCGGGGACGUGUCCCCGGCUGAGUGUACCUUAAGAAAAAGCAUCGGCUAACUCCGUGCCAGCAGCCGCGGUAAUACGGAGGAUGCGCGCGUUAUCCGGAUUUAUUGGGUUUAAAGGGUGCGCAGGCGGUCUGUUAAGUCAGCGGUCAAAGCCCGGGGCUCAACCCCGGCCCGCCGUUGAAACUGGCAGUCUCGAGUUGGAGAGAAGUAUGCGGAAUGCGCGGUGUAGCGGUGAAAUGCAUAGAUAUCGCGCAGAACUCCGAUUGCGAAGGCAGCAUGCCGGCUCCACACUGACGCUGAGGCACGAAAGCGUGGGUAUCGAACAGGAUUAGAUACCCGAGUAGUC
rnacentral:rRNA from 1 species